rnacentral:antisense_RNA from 1 species
UUAUGGUGGGCUGUGUAGGGGCUUCUUCGGAAGCGCCGGUAUCCAUUGAGGCCGGUAAGACCAACUCUGCACAGUUCACCACCA